rnacentral:rRNA from 1 species
UGGCGGCGUGCCUAAUACAUGCAAGUCGAACGAACUCUGGUAUUGAUUGGUGCUUGCAUCAUGAUUUACAUUUGAGUGAGUGGCGAACUGGUGAGUAACACGUGGGAAACCUGCCCAGAAGCGGGGGAUAACACCUGGAAACAGAUGCUAAUACCGCAUAACAACUUGGACCGCAUGGUCCGAGCUUGAAAGAUGGCUUCGGCUAUCACUUUUGGAUGGUCCCGCGGCGUAUUAGCUAGAUGGUGGGGUAACGGCUCACCAUGGCAAUGAUACGUAGCCGACCUGAGAGGGUAAUCGGCCACAUUGGGACUGAGACACGGCCCAAACUCCUACGGGAGGCAGCAGUAGGGAAUCUUCCACAAUGGACGAAAGUCUGAUGGAGCAACGCCGCGUGAGUGAAGAAGGGUUUCGGCUCGUAAAACUCUGUUGUUAAAGAAGAACAUAUCUGAGAGUAACUGUUCAGGUAUUGACGGUAUUUAACCAGAAAGCCACGGCUAACUACGUGCCAGCAGCCGCGGUAAUACGUAGGUGGCAAGCGUUGUCCGGAUUUAUUGGGCGUAAAGCGAGCGCAGGCGGUUUUUUAAGUCUGAUGUGAAAGCCUUCGGCUCAACCGAAGAAGUGCAUCGGAAACUGGGAAACUUGAGUGCAGAAGAGGACAGUGGAACUCCAUGUGUAGCGGUGAAAUGCGUAGAUAUAUGGAAGAACACCAGUGGCGAAGGCGGCUGUCUGGUCUGUAACUGACGCUGAGGCUCGAAAGUAUGGGUAGCAAACAGGAUUAGAUACCCUGGUAGUCCAUACCGUAAACGAUGAAUGCUAAGUGUUGGAGGGUUUCCGCCCUUCAGUGCUGCAGCUAACGCAUUAAGCAUUCCGCCUGGGGAGUACGGCCGCAAGGCUGAAACUCAAAGGAAUUGACGGGGGCCCGCACAAGCGGUGGAGCAUGUGGUUUAAUUCGAAGCUACGCGAAGAACCUUACCAGGUCUUGACAUACUAUGCAAAUCUAAGAGAUUAGACGUUCCCUUCGGGGACAUGGAUACAGGUGGUGCAUGGUUGUCGUCAGCUCGUGUCGUGAGAUGUUGGGUUAAGUCCCGCAACGAGCGCAACCCUUAUUAUCAGUUGCCAGCAUUAAGUUGGGCACUCUGGUGAGACUGCCGGUGACAAACCGGAGGAAGGUGGGGAUGACGUCAAAUCAUCAUGCCCCUUAUGACCUGGGCUACACACGUGCUACAAUGGAUGGUACAACGAGUUGCGAACUCGCGAGAGUAAGCUAAUCUCUUAAAGCCAUUCUCAGUUCGGAUUGUAGGCUGCAACUCGCCUACAUGAAGUCGGAAUCGCUAGUAAUCGCGGAUCAGCAUGCCGCGGUGAAUACGUUCCCGGGCCUUGUACACACCGCCCGUCACACCAUGAGAGUUUGUAACACCCAAAGUCGGUGGGGUAACCUUUUAGGAACCAGCCGCCUAAGGUGGGACAGAUGAUUAGG